GUAAGUAUAGUUUAAUUAAAAUGCCAGAUUGUGAUUCUGAAGACGGGGGUUAAAACCCCCCUACUCACC
rnacentral:tRNA from 1 species